UCCUGUACAAUCACGGGAGUUAAGCUGCAUUGAGCCUGGUCAGUACCUAGAUGGGUGACCGCUUGGGAAUACCAGGUAAUGUAA